GAUGAACGCUGGCGGCGUGCCUAAUACAUGCAAGUCGAGCGAACAGACGAGGAGCUUGCUCCUUUGACGUUAGCGGCGGACGGGUGAGUAACACGUAGGUAACCUACCUAUAAGACUGGGAUAACUUCGGGAAACCGGAGCUAAUACCGGAUAAUAUUUCGAACCGCAUGGUUCGAUAGUGAAAGACGGCUUUGCUAUCACUUAUAGAUGGACCUGCGCUGUAUUAGCUAGUUGGUAAGGUAACGGCUUACCAAGGCAACGAUACGUAGCCGACCUGAGAGGGUGAUCGGCCACACUGGAACUGAGACACGGUCCAGACUCCUACGGGAGGCAGCAGUAGGGAAUCUUCCGCAAUGGGCGAAAGCCUGACGGAGCAACGCCGCGUGAGUGAUGAAGGUCUUCGGAUCGUAAAACUCUGUUAUUAGGGAAGAACAAACGUGUAAGUAACUGUGCACGUCUUGACGGUACCUAAUCAGAAAGCCACGGCUAACUACGUG
rnacentral:rRNA from 1 species